UUCAUAAUAACUUAACGAAUCGCAUGGCCUUGCGCUGGCGAUGGUUCAUUCAAAUUUCUGCCCUAUCAACUUUCGAUGGUAGGAUAGUGGCCUACCAUGGUCUCAACGGGUAACGGGGAAUUAGGGUUCUAUUCCGGAGAGGGAGCCUGAGAAACGGCUACCACAUCCAAGGAAGGCAGCAGGCGCGCAAAUUACCCAAUCCCAAUUCGGGGAGGUAGUGACAAUAAAUACUGAUACAGGGCUCUUUUGGGUCUUGUAAUUGGAAUGAGUACAAUCUAAAUCCCUUAACGAGGAACAAUUGGAGGGCAAGUCUGGUGCCAGCAGCCGCGGUAAUUCCAGCUCCAAUAGCGUAUAUUAAAGUUGUUGCCGUUAAAAAGCUCGUAGUUGAACCUUGGGUCUGGCUGAUCUGUCCUCCUAAUCGAGCGCACGGAUUCGGUCGGACCUUUCCUUCUGGGGAGCCGCAUGCCCUUCACUGGGCGUGUCGGGGAACCAGGACUUUUACCUUGAAAAAAUUAGAGUGUUCAAAGCAGGCCUUUGCUCGAAUACAUUAGCAUGGAAUAAUAGAAUAGGACAGAGGUUCUAUUUUGUUGGUUUCUAGGACCGCUGUAAUGAUUAAUAGGGAUAGUCGGGGGCGUCCGUAUUCAAUUGUCAGAGGUGAAAUUCUUGGAUUUAUUGAAGACGAACUACUGCGAAAGCAUUCGCCAAGGAUGUUUUCAUUAAUCAGUGAACGAAAGUUAGGGGAUCGAAGACGAUCAGAUACCGUCGUAGUCUUAACCAUAAACUAUGCCGACUAGGGAUCGGACGGUGGUUUUUUUAUGCCCCGUUCGGCACCUUACGA
rnacentral:rRNA from 1 species